GGUUAUUGAGAAGAACAUUAGCAAGUACAGAAAAUGCAUCAACGUACAGGUAAUGAAGGUGAGGGAGAAGUACAGUUCCUAGGAAUGGUGAGAACACUUGCAACAUACAACGAGUGUACGUGCGAAGUCAAUUACAUCGUCAGCAGUACUAGAUACCAUGUUCUGACGACUUUAAAAUGUGGUAUACCCCUGUCUUUUACACACUUAAUGAAUGAUCCUACACACUUGGUGAAAAAAUGCAGUACAACAUUAAGAGCAUAGUUGUGAAAAAUCCAGAGCUGACACUAACAUUGUAUAUUUUUACACCUGGUAGCUAUGGAUUACUAACACUAAACACAAUUCUGAGGUCUGUGUGACUUUAGACACCUAACCACAGGCAUAUCACCAUUAGACAUGUAAUGUAGUUGUGUGGGGAGUGUGGCAGGUACAGGAGUGUCUCUUUGUGUAAUAACAUAAGGUUGGCCAAUUGGAAUCCAAAUGGUAAAAUGCAGGCUCAAAUAGCCAUGCUGUGAUUAUGGCUAGUGUGGAGAGUGUUUCCGGAUUAGUUAGAUGUCAUAUUCGGAUCUUAAUUUGCUACAAUUUUUAGUUUAGCAAAACAUCCUGUCUGAUUGUGAAUCAAUUUAACUUGUAAAUAGAAACAAACCUGACAAAUAUUAUCAUUAAAUACAUGUAAAUUAUAAUAAUAUUGAUA